UUUAUUCUUUCUCUAAAUUUUAUUAACUGUCUACUAACUCUCUUUGGAAUGAGGAGCUUCAAUAAUGUCUUACACUAACAAUUCCACAAAAAUUUAAUUUUUUUUAAUAAGUGAUGAAUUAAAUAUAAUUUUUUUUAAUUUUUGCCAUUGAAAUUUCAUAUUUAAUUCUACUUCUGAUAAACAACUAAACCUCUCUAAGGCACAUCCUAACACUUUAUAUUUUUCAUGUAUGUUUGAUUGGUUAAUAUAUGCUGUACAUAUUAAUUACCAAUAUGUGUUGUUUAUAAUAUGUUCUUGUGUAAUGAAAUACAUAUGAUACAAAAUACAUUAAAUUAAAAACAACAUUACACAGACUAUGUGGAUAGAGGUGGAGCAAUAGUCAUGGUGCCGAUAGCAUCAGAGAGGCUUGCUUUGCUUUGCUAUGCUUCAAGAGCUACAUGAUGACAUGGAAGUAUGAAAUACAUAUAGGCUAAGCCUACAACUGGUUAUGUCAAUUGCAAUAUGGAUGCAUUGUUCAAUUGCAAUAGAUAGACAUGAUGUGGAUUUGUAUACGCCUCUUAAAUAAACACGAUCAAUUUCUUGUAGUAAGAAUUCUACGCUAAAUAUUUUGGACCUCUAAAUUAUUUUAUUUUUGUUUUAGUAGUUAUAAAUAUUUUACACUUUGGUUAUUCUAAUAGUGUAAUUUAUAAAUAUUUGAUGUAGUUAUUUAGUAGUUAUGAAAUUUUUUAUAGUUAUUUUUUAAUACUGGAAAUUUCAGUUUUGAAAUUUUCAGGAGUUUCAAUCGGAAAUUUUAAAUUUCCGAUAUUGAAAAAUAACUAUCGGAAAUUUUCAAUUGAAACUCCUGUAAAUUUCAAAAAUUAAUUUUUCAGUAUUGAAAAAUAACUACCAAAAAUUUCCUUUUUAAAAUUUUUAGUAAGAGAUUUUCUGAGAAAAAAAUUUACUUAUUCCAAAAAAUCAGAUUGUGAAUACCACAAAAUAUUUUUUUUGUUUUUACCAUAAAGUUAUAAGUAUUCUAAUAAAUUUAGAUAUAAAUUUUUUAAAUGGAGGUACGAAAUCCAUCUCUCUAUAUAUAAUUGGGCCUUCAUCCCAUUUUCUCUAUUUGGUCUUUGGGCCUUUUUUGGGUUAGGCCCUUUUAACUUUUUAAGUGCUAAUAAUCAUAAUUGUAUGAAAAUGAUUAAUAAAUUAUACUAGUACCCUCCAAUUUUACUUAUACCCCUCAAUAUUUUUAAAAUGCUAAAUUUUUUUUUAAUUUUUUUUUUAUUAUUUUAUCAACUCAAUUUCUUUUUUUUUUACCAUUUAAAGAUUUUUGAACCAAACAAUUCAAGUUUUUCAAUAUGUAAAAUAUUUUUAGAAAUUACCAAAAAACUUUUUAUAAGAUUUUUGAUACAAAAGGUUAACCGGAAAACUUUAAAAUAAAAAUUUUGAUAAAGAAGUUUUGUACCGAAAAGUUUUAAAAAAGAUUUGCAGUACAAAAGGUUGAGAAUAUACAUAUCGAGUAUCGCAAAUCUUUAAAACAGUUUUCCGAUAUAAAACAUUGAAAAUGUAUACAUAAGAUAGAAAAUAUUAAAAAUAAAAUUAUAAAAAUUUCCGAAAAACUUAAAUUUAUGGUUUCAAAUUUUUCGAUAAUUAUCAAAAAAACUUAAAAAAAAGUAUUCCAAUAAUCAUUGUUUUGAGUUGAUAAUUGGUUAGGACAAAUUAAUAUCGACUCAAAACAAAUUAUAUUAAUUUGUCCUAACCAAACUCUAAAAUUAUAUUGGUAAUUUUUAGACCAUAAUUCAUUUUAUCUUUUUACUAAACCCCACUUCGUUAUUAGAUAUGAACAAACCCGAUAAUGUACAAAUUAUAAUAAGAUCAUGUCUAUCUAGGAUGAGUUCGGAUUGAGUUGAAAGACAAAUAGAAACAAAAUUAUAAAGUUAUCAUCAUUCAAAUAAAAACUAAAAAGUUAAACGGUAGUUUACUUCUAACAGACAGAUAAAGUGAGUAAUGUAAUUUACAAAAUGGUUCAGGACUUAAAUAAAAAAAUUUAAUCAUUUUUAUCACAAUUAAUUUUUUUUUGUUAAUAAUUUAAAAAAAUAGUGGUUAAUAUUGUCUACAAUAUGAUUAAUGACGUAAAAAAACAUAAGAACUUUGUCAUUUUUAUCAUAAAUAAAAAACUUGGUUAAUGAUGUUGUGAAUUGCAUUAACCACUUUGUUUCACUCCAUUAACCAUGUUUUUUACUAAAAAAUAUCAUGUUCUUUAGUUUUAUGUUAUUAACCUCUUUGUGGAUUGCAUUAACCACUUUGUUUCAAGCAAUUAACAAAGUGUCGGAAAUGAUUGAUGAUUUUAAUGAAAGUUUGUUGGAAAUAAUGAUGACAUUAAUGGGAGCUAGUGUUGUUGUGAAUUGAAAAAUAAGGAAGUCUUACACAAGAGGGAUAUCACACACUAGUAGGAUAUAUAAGGUGGAGGUAUGGUACUUGGGGUGUGUCCCAAGGAGUACCUCAAUUUUGUAAAAGAUGGAGAACGCAUGAAAAAUUGACCACCACACACGCGCGCCGUCGUUGUCCGGCCGACUCGACUCGACCGAGCCUUGGCCUUGGGGUAUAUUAUUUUUUAGCAUAUGAAAAUUAAUAAAUUAAUUAUUUAUUUAAGUGAAUGCUUACAUUUUUAUCUCUAAUUGUUACAUUAAUUACGUAAUUGUCCUCCACUUAGUCAACAUUCAUCAUCUGAUCCAGUUAGUUCCUUGCCCCCGAUUUCGCGCUUGAGUUUUGUUGGUCAAAACUCUAAUCACUAGUCAUGUGCGUCUGGCUUAAUCUAAAAACAAAACGUCUCUUUAUGAGAUAAUGAAGAAAAGACAACCUAACUUCUCUUAUCUUCGAACAUGGGGUUGUCUGCCUUAUGUCAGAAUCCCCGAUCUCAAGCGAAUUAAACUCGCUAGUAAAGCCUAUAAAUGUGUGUUUAUUGGGUAUGCAAUAAACAGUAAAGCGUAUAAGUUCUAUGAAAAUAAAUUCCCUUUCAAAUCAAGAAAUGGUGGGGGCAACGAACCUAGUCAAGUUCCCGUGACAAGAAGCACUGAAAGCAACAACCAAGGCGUAAAAGAAACUCGAAGAAGUAAGAGAGCUAGAGUUGCUAAAGAUUAUGGACCCGAAUAUAUGGCCUAUAACUUAGAAAAUGAUCCUGCAAAUCUAAAAGAAGCUUUGUCAUCAAUGGAUGCAGAUUUAUGACAAAAAGCUAUAAAUGAUGAAAUGGAUUCUUUAGAGUCUAACGAGACCUGAUAUUUAGUAGACUUGUCUCCUGGUUGCAAACCAAUAGGUUAUAAAUGGAUCUUGAAAAAGAAACUAAAACCCGAUGGAAUUGUUGAUAAAUACAAGGCAAGCUUUGUAGCCAAAUGUUUUAGACAAAAAAAAAAUAUAGAUUUCUUCGACACUUUUUCACCAGUCACUAGAAUAACAUCCAUUAGGGUGCUCAUAUCACUUGUGGCUAUUCAUAACCUGGUGAUACACCAGAUGGAUGUUAAAACAACUUUUUUAAAUUGUGACCUGGAAGAAGAAAUUUAUAUGGAACAACCUGAAGGUUUUCUAAUUCAUGGACAAGAAGACAAUGUCUGUAAGUUAGAUAAGUCUUUGUAUGGUCUUAAACAAACUCCUAAGCAAUGACAUGAAAAAUUUGAUAACUUAAUUAUAUCGAAUGAGUUUAAAGUGAAUGAAAGUGACAAAUGCAUUUAUUACAAAUCUGAAAAUGGCAUUUGCACUAUCAUAUGUCUCUAUGUAGACGACUUACUCAUAUUUGGUUCAAACAUUCUUGCUGUAAAUAAUUUGAAAUUUUUGUUAAGUAACAACGUUGAUAUGAAAGACCUCGGAGAAGCAAAUGUAAUCCUUGGAAUCAAAAUUACUAGGUCAGAAAAGAGAUUUUCUUUGGAUCAAUGUCACUAUGUUGAAAAGAUCCUAAAGAAAUAUAAUUACUUUGAUUGUAAACCUGCUUGCACACCAUAUGAUCCAAGUGUGAAACUUUUCAAGAACACUGGUGAAUGUGUUAGACAAAUUGAAUAUGCAAGCAUCAUUUGCAGCCUCAUGUAUGUGACUGAUUGUACUAGACCCGACAUUGCCUACGUCGUGGGAUUGUUGUGCAGGUUUACUAGUAGACCUAAUAUGGAGCAUUGACAUGCUACUGAAAGAGUCAUGAGAUACCUUAAAAGAACCAUGAGUCUCGGAUUACAUUAUCAAAUAUUUCCUACCCUCCUUGAAGGAUACAAUGAUGCUGAUUGGAACACCUUAUCAGAUGACUUCAAAGCAACCAGUGUCUAUAUUUUCAGUAUAGGCAGUGGUGUUGUAUCAUGAAAAUCGAAAAAACAGACGAUAUUGAUUUUGUCCAUUAUGGAGUCUAAAAUGAUAGCACUAGCUACUGCUAGUGAAGAAACAAGUUGGUUGAGAUGCUUGCUAGCAGAGAUCCCUUUAUGGGAAAAACCUUUGUCAGCUGUGUUGAUUCACUGCGAUAGUACCACGACUAUAGCAAAAAUUGAGAAUCGUUGUUACAACGGUAAGAGACGACAAAUACGUCGUAAGCACAUCACUGUUAGAGAAUUACUUUCUAAAUGAGCUGUUAUAGUGGAUCAUGUACGCAUUGAUGAUAAUUUAGCAGAUCCUUUGACAAAAGGAUUGGCUAGAGAGAAAAUCCUAAAUAUAUGCAAAAGGAUGGGACUAUUGCCUAUAGAUCAAUGAGUCACUUAUGAUGGUAACCUGACCUAAAAGACUAGAGAUCCCAAGAAUUAGGUUCAAUGGGUAAUAACAAGUCACAUUGAUAAGAAAUGAACAUGUUACAUGACAUAUGAAAGAAGCAUGAUUCCGGAAGCGAUAAAAAGAUGAGAUAAUAUAAACUCUUAAUGAGAUCUAUACUAUAUGUGGAGUACAUAGCUACAUGAGUACUCUUGAUAGACUCACCUAUAUGAAUGUGGAAGUGGGGCAGUUUCCUAUGGAGUUUCGAGGCAGAAUUCUUAGAGCAUUCAUUAUAUUAGGAUACACGUACAUGGCCAUAAAUACACAGGCUUUUGAGAAUACACCCAAAUGAAAAAGGUUGUGUGUGGGUUUGAUGUCAGAGAUAAAAUUCAAGACUAUGAGUCACUCUUGUUGAAUCUGAAUCUUACUUGCUAUGCAAAGGUUCAAGUCAAGAAACACAUUUGUUUAUGCACAAUCUUAUAGAAGCGUUUGACACUAUUUCAAAAACCUUCUUUUAAAUUCAAGUGGGGGAUUGUUGGAAAUGAUGAUUAUUUUAAUGGAAGUUUGUUGGAAAUAAUGAUGAUAUUAAUGAGAGCUAGCGUUGUUGUGAAUUAAAAAAUAAGGAAGUCCCACAUAAGAGGGAUAUCACACAUUAGUAUGGUAUAUAAGGUGGAGGUAUGAUACUUAGGGUGUGCCUCAAAGGGUACCCCAAUUUUGUAAAGGAGGGAAAGAACGCAUGUAAAAUUGACCACCACACAUAGGCGUUGGCGUUGACUACGUGGUGUAUUAUUUUUUAGCAUAUGAAAAUUAAUAAAUUAUUUAUUUAUUUAAAAAAAAUGAAUGUUUGCAUUUUUAUCUCUAAUUGUUGCGUUAAUUACGUAAUUACCCUCCACCGAAUCAACAUUCAUCAUCUGAUCCAGUCAGUUCAUUGCCCCCGCUUUCACGCUUCAGUUUUGUUGGUAAAAACCCUAAUCACUAGUCAUGUGCGUCUGUUAUUGUCUGGUCAAAAACUUAAGUCAAAACUGAGCGCACAUUUUAUGGUCAAACAAUAUGUGGCACACGUUUUGGUGGUUAAACAAGUAGUGGCAUCCGUUUCUGUGGUCAAAUUAUAAAUAUCAGAGCAAACAUUUAUUGAAUCAGACCUAAUGGAUCGCACCUUUCUCUUUGAUCCAGUUAAGGAUUUCCUUUAUAAAUUGAGGGCUCUCCUCAGUUGAAAAAACACACAAAAAAGUCUCUGUAUCAGAAGUUUUUCUCUCUUCUCACCUUUCUUACUCACUUCUUUUGUUUCCUUUGAAUGGUCUUAGUGCCAUAUUACGACGAGUUUUAUGCAGGGGACUUCGUGGUUGAUAGUUUGUCUUGCACAAUUUGGGCAGUGCCUCAAAACGUCUUAAAGAGAGUGACCUAGUCCGCGACUCAACCUAGUAAUAUUGUCGGUUGCAUAAAUUGUUUUUUCAAAGUUUUUCGAAAUUCAAAACUAACAAUUAAUUUUUUUCGUUAAUGAUCUAAAAAAAUAGUGGUUAAUAUUGUCUACAAUAUGAUUAAUGACGUAAAAAACAUAAGAACUUGGUCAUUUUUAUCAUAAAUAAAAAGCUUGUUUAAUGAUUUUGUGAAUUGCAUUAUCCACUUUGUUUCACUCCAUUAACCAUGUUUUUUACUAAAUAAAAAUGAUCAAGUUCUUUAAUUUUAUGUUAUUAACCACUUUGUGGAUUUCAUUAACCACUUGGUUUCAAGCAAUUAACAAAGUUGUUUACUUGUUUGUAAUUAUAAUGAUAAAGUUUCUUAGAUUUAAGCUAUUAACCAUUUUGUAGAAUGUAUUAACCAGGAUCGUCUUAAUAUUUUUUAGAGGCUUUUUUCGAAUCUAAAAAUUGGACCUUGAAAUCACAAAAUUCUAACAUCAAGAUUUUUAAGAUUUUAACAUUUGACCGUUAUUGGUGGCUCCUGGUAGACUGUAGCCCCUAUCACAGACCCAAUUGUCUAAAAUUGACUAUUUAUUUUAGGGAUAAGGUAUAAAUAUAAAAUUUUAAAGUGUUUAAUGUACAAAAUUAAAGAAAUCAAUGUAAAUGUUAUGAUGUAUUAUAAAUAAAUAAAAUAGAGUCAUAUCUAAUUAAGAGUCUUGUGCUAAUAUUUUGAUUGUACACCUUAAUCGACAGAUCUAGUAUUAACUACUAUGUUUCAAGGAAUUAACUAAAAAAAUUAUGUCAUAAAAAGAACCAAGUUAUUUGAGGCACACCCUAACCAUCAUGGCCGUUACUGCACAACCAUAAUUCUUAUUGUCUUGUCUCAAAAUUCACACUUUUUUCUAGAUGAAUUAUUGCCAUAAUGUCCAACAGUGGGGAAGACUUUCUACAACCUUUCAAGAAGUAAAAUAUUAUUAAUUAAAUAAAACCAACAUAGUAUAUAACACUGUUCAAAACAAAUUUGGUGUCAUCUUAAAAAAAGAAAGUCAGAAACAUGACUACUAAUGUUUAACCUUACAUAAUUGUUCAUAACAACCAAAAAAGAAGAAAACAAGUGUUUGUGAAACAAAUGUCAACAUUUACUAAAUUGGUUUUUUUUAUUUUAAAUGUCGAUAUUUUUUAUUUUUUUAAGUUUUUAAAUUAAAAAAAGUAAUUGAUUUAAUAUAUUUUAAAUCACACAAGAUACAAUUUUAUGAUAUAAAAUUAUUUAUAAUUAUUUAUAUGUAAUUAACUAAAUUAAAAAUAUAAAUUUUUUAUAAAGUUGAAAGCUAAAUUUUUACGACAUUUUAUUCUAACUUAAUUUAUGAAUGUUAAUCAUUGUAUAUUAUUAUAUCAGAUUAAAAAAAUGAAAAGAAGAUAACAAAACUAUUGAUUUUUAAAAUAGAGAUCAAUUUCAACGAUCGAUAAAAAUAUAAAAACUAAAAUUAUAUAUAAGUCAAUUUUUUUUAUAAAAGUCUUAUAGCUAACGAUGUAUAUAACAAAACUAACAAUUAGGUGAGUGGUGAAAAAGAUAAAUUUAAAGGUUUUUUUUUUUUGGCAAAUGUUACCGUUAAACGUUAGUUACCGAUUUAUAUUUUCUGUUAAAUUCGUCUAUUUGGCUGCAUGCGUGUAUCGUGUCAAUAUAAGAGAGCAUGUACAUUGAGAUCAUUUCAUCUGACUUCGUUUUCUCUCAUUUAUCAUUUCAAAAAAGUCCUGUGUGCAUGAUGUCAAAUUUGAAACACUUUAUAGUACCUCAUAUUUUUUCUAAUAUAUUUUUGGUUUCUUUUAUACCAAAGUAUUUAAAAGGAAAAAUUAUUAAUAAACAUCCAGAUAUUUAGAUGACAAUUUGAAAGAAAAAAAAUAGUGGAGAACAAUGUGAUAGAUAGAAUAAAAGAGAUAUAAAAAGAAAUUAAAAAUGUUGAAUGGAAGUAUGAAAUGAUGGAUGUCCAAAGUGUAUCAUUUUUGUUUUAGAAAUUGGAUUGGUGUUUUUAUGUCUAAGAUUUUUUUUAUAGUUGAAUGUUAGUGGUUAAUUUGUUAGUAAAGAGAGAGAAAUAUUAGUAGUAGGAAUCAAAUCUUUAACCUCUUUUUUUAUAUUUUUUUUGUCUCUUAACUCACCAAUCGAACACUUAAUUACGCAGAAUCAACAAAUUUUUAAGGUGAAAACUAUAUCUAAUACCAUAUUACUAUUCUUGAUCAGGGACAACUCUACUUUAUAGAGAGUAGGGUUAGAGCUCCUACUAUGUUUUGAUUCUUCAUUAUAGAUAGAUAGACAAAUAGAAACAAAAAUAGUUUAAUUGACUAAUGUAACCUAUACAAAUCCAAAAUUGUAAGGAUUCAAUUACUUAAGUUUGUUCUUGAUAGAAGUUAUUGAUGCGAUAAAUAGAUAGAAAAGUAUAAUAAUAUAAAAAUUAAAUUGAUAAUGAGAAUCUAAUUACAUUAAGGGUUAUAUAAGAUUUAUAUAAUCAAUGAAGAAGAAACUAAUAACAAGUGUAACUAAUUAAUGUGACUAACUAUUCUAACUAACAAGAGUGUAUCUAAUACUAUACACUAUUCGAGAGAUAAAUCUUUCUGACAUAUCUUAGAUCGGUUCAUUAAGAGGUUUCCAAUAUAUAUUUUUUUAUAACAAUGAUACACAUAUACUCCUAAUUUUUUUGUACUCAUUCAACAUUUCAUUUUCUCUUUAUGUCUCUCUUUCUAUCACAUUAUCAAUAUAUUAUAUUUAGCACGUUACUUUUUUUAUCUCUUUAUUUUUCAAAGUGUAUACACUUCUAUAGGUGUACAGUAAACAUUUUUCAUUUUUCUAUAUGCAUUUUGGUGAUAUUUUGGUUUUAUAAAAAAAACAAAAAUAACGUCAUAUUUUGGUAUUAUCAAUAAAUAUUAUUGAUGGCUUUGAUCCGGUCGUGUCCACUGACCAGAAAUAAUAAAUAAGACAGCCAUUAGAAACGUUAAUUCCUGAUGCUGCAUAUGUGCCCUAAUGUCUUUGUCACCUACCAUUAAUAAAAACACUUUCGAUACAGCGAGCUAACAAUAUUAAUUAGUUCAUAUGAACUCCAUGUGAAUAUCACAUGUCUACAUGGCAGUCAGCAAGUAUGCCAAUAACAAUAUUGUUCACAAGUCAAACCUAAGACACAAUGACACAUACCUCAACCGUAUAUACCAAAAUGUUUUUUUGACGAUGGAAUUGAUGGAAUUGAUGGAAGAGUCUCUGAGAGGCUUACCAAGCACAUUGUAUACUUGGAAAUUUGAAUGUAGUACAAAACUGUGUGCUACUUUGGAUUUUAGUGUUGUCUUUACUCUCUCAUGCACUCAUUAACUUUUUAAUGACUUAAUGAAAACUUGUUUUAAGUACUAAUUAACACAACUAGAAGGUUGCAAGUUUUACAAUUUCCUAAGAGCUUUGAUCACUAGAUAUAUACUUAACGAGUGUGUUUAAUUGGUGAAAUUAUUACAAGAAAGGAUAGAAUAUGAGUGGAUUUAUGGCAAAGAGGUGUAAUAAGAGAUAUACAUCAACAAUAUGUUGUGUUUUGUUUUGAAGUUGUUGAAACUCUUAAUCACCUAUUUUUUAGGAAAAGAAAAUUUGGAAAUCAAUUUCCAAAAAUGACUUUAUUGGUAUCCCUAAUAUUUGAGGAGUGAAGUGAUAGAUAAUAUUGUCUUUUAAUGCAUUAGUGAAAGGAAAAAUAUGUUUAUCAUGUGUUUAGUCUCGUUUGAUUGACCACUACUUCUGUAUUUGGUUGGAAACGAGUAACAUUUUAUUUGCAGAAAAAGUGACAAAACAAAUAUGAUAGAGGUGACUGGUAAAUUAUGCUAAUUUGUAUUUUUAGUGUUUUAGAUGAGUUAAAAUAAAAGGUGCUCUCACAAUAAAAUUGUGUAUUUUUUAUUGCAAAAUCAUUAACAACCUAUUUAUAAUUAAUCUUCUAGAUUUCAAAUAAAUUUUUAAUAAUUUUAAUUUUAAAAAAAUGUCUCAAAUGACGAUAACGAUGAUUAGUAUUAUUAUAAUGUACAAUAUGAAAAUAAUUAAAUAUUUCUUGUAAUUUUUUAAUUAUUCAAAUAUAAUUUUGUCAUCAAUAUCAUGAGAACUAUCGUGUUUUAGAUAAUUAUGAAGAUGGUUGGAAGAAAAUUUUAAAUCAUUAUAAGAUAAUUAUUUAAACAUUUUCAAUAUAAACAAAAUUACAACAAUCUUUGGUCAACUAUUCAUAUCUCUAGCUAUAAUAAGUGAACUACAUACUUAUGUACCAUAUAUAAAAAAAAUGACGAAGUCAAUAGAUUCUUCAAGAGACUCAAUGUGCGUGCAUAUUCAUAUAAAUUUUUAUUAUAGUAUUUUUUCUACAAAGUUUUAUUUUAAUUUAGAAAUUUUAAGCGUUAUAAACUUUAACUAAAGAAACAAUAAAAAAUAAUUAAGUACAUCAUUAAAUUUAAAUUACAAAAAAAAUCAAUUUUAAUCAACUGUGUAUUUUCUAUAGUAUUUUCAAUUCAAUUCAUUUUUCAUACAUAUUUUAAAAAUUAUUUAUUACAAUUAUUUUAACUUUAUAUGUAUCAUGAAAAUCCAUCCUCUUUUAUUUUUCAUGUAUUAAAUAUGAUUUUUAAAGUCAUGCAUGUUAUAUGAACAUCAAUAUUAUAUACCAUAGUAAACUUUAACUCUUAUUAAAUUUAUAUAAUAUGUAUAAUAUGGUAAGUAAUUGUAUUAUAUAUAUAAAUAGUGUAAGUGAAAAUAAAAAUUAAUUUUUGUUUACCUUUUUAUCUAUAUAAUUAUUAUUUUUUAUUAUUGAUUUAUUAUUAUUUAUUAUUUUUAUUAUUGAUGUUUUAAAUAUGAUGUGAACUUGUAUUGAUAUUAUUAUUUGAUAUUUUUAAUAGUGUACCGUAUAAAGAAAUAAAUUAAGAUCCAACCCAAAAUAAAUAAAAAUAAUGAAGAAAAAAAAUCGGUAAUAUCCUAAGAAUCGAUACCGAGUACCUGCAGAUGCCGUUGUUUUGGUCAUCACCUCCAGGUUUGGCCGUUAUCUCUACUUUCUCUUUUAAAAACUCCUCUUUUCUUAUUGAAUCAGCCGUCAUGAAUCCAUCCGCUAACAGUCUAAACAUCGGUAGACUUUUAUGCCCGUAAUGGAUUAAUAGACUGUGUCUGAACGAACAAUUUAUGCCCGUAACCGUUCAAGAAAGAGGUUCGAUUUAGCAGUUGAUGUUAGAUCUGGUUAAGAUGUAAGUUGUAGCGGUGUGGUUAGCAUGUAAGUUGUAGCGGUGUCUGUGUAUCAGUUCUAUUAUGUUAUCGCUUGUGUAUCACAGAAUGAUAAAUAUAGUAUCAACUAUUUCAUCUAACCCAUCACGUCCAUAAUUUUUGUUUUUC
rnacentral:lncRNA from 1 species